CCUAAGCCUAUUUUCUUCCACCCACGAUAAACAAUCCAACCAGCACCGCCAGAAGCUUCGACAAUAAUUCUCAGGUAUACAUAUUUUUAUGAAGAGGAGUUUAUAUGAUAAGAAGCCAGGAUGUAAGCCGUGGUAUGGACCAGUAAGAAGGUUUCGUCAUGGGUUGGUGCAGCUGGUCCAUCCCUAAGGCCAAUAUAUUGGCGUGGAAAUAUGCUGAGGGCAGACUACCUACUAGGGUCGAGCUGGACAAAAGUGGCGUCCAAGUCGGUAAUGUGUUAUGUCCUUGAUGCGGGUAUAUGCAAGAAACAGAAUACCAAAUUUUCUUGUUUCGCGUCUAAUGACCAAAGUUUUAUGGUGGAUGAUUGGCGUUUGGCUGGGAUUUAGCGACUUAUGCAAUUGUGCAACAGUAUCGGACGUAUUACAAUUUCCCCGCAAACUUCAAGUAACCAAGACGAGAAGGAAGGUGAUAAAAACCAUUAUCAUAGCAACGUUAGAAGGAAGGUGAUAAAAACCAUUAUCAUAGCAACGUUAUCGACCAUUUGGAUGAGCAGGAACGACAAGGUCUUUUAGGGGAUGCAUAUCUCAAACUCAAAAAGGCUGGAAGAAAUCAAAGAAUCUACAUUUUUAUGGAUGAAGUUCAGAGCAAAAAUGGAUAGUCGACAUUAGUGAACUGGACUAAUUGUGUUGAAUAAAUUUCUCCCCUUUUGUUAAAGAAAAAGUUGAAUAGUUUGACUUACGUGGUGUUUGACCAUUGAUAUCUUUGACACUUGACAAUUGGGAUAAUUGGAAUCACCAGUCAACUAUCACCAAUCAACUCUAAAUUUCCAUUAGUAUCACUAAUGUCAAAU
rnacentral:lncRNA from 1 species